rnacentral:rRNA from 1 species
GAUUGACCUCGGAUCAGGUAGGGAUACCCGCUGAACUUAAGCAUAUCAAUAAGCGGAGGAAAAGAAACCAACAGGGAUUGCCUCAGUAACGGCGAGUGAAGCGGCAACAGCUCAAAUUUGAAAUCUGGCUCCCUGGGGAGCCCGAGUUGUAAUUUGCAGAGGAUGUUUCGGGCGCGGCGCCGGUCUAAGUCCCUUGGAACAGGGCGUCAUAGAGGGUGAGAAUCCCGUCUGUGACCGGCGACCAAGCCCAUGUGAAACCCCUUCGACGAGUCGAGUUGUUUGGGAAUGCAGCUCAAAACGGGUGGUAAAUUUCAUCUAAAGCUAAAUACCGGCUGGAGACCGAUAGCGCACAAGUAGAGUGAUCGAAAGAUGAAAAGCACUUUGGAAAGAGAGUUAAAAAGUACGUGAAAUUGUUGAAAGGGAAGCGCUCGCCACCAGACCUGUCCCCGGGCGAUCAGCGGCGGUUCUCCGCCGUGCACUCGUCCGGGAUCAGGCCAGCAUCGGUUCGGGCGGUCGGAUAAAGGCCGCGGGAACGUAGCUCCCCUCGAGGAGUCUUAUAGCCCGCGGUGCAAUGCGGCCCGCUCGGACCGAGGACCGCGCUUCGGCUAGGAUGCUGGCAUAAUGGUGGUGAGCGACCCGUCUUGAAACACGGACCAAGGAGUCUAACAUCUAUGCGAGUGUUUGGGUGUCAAACCCAUGCGCGGAAUGAAAGUGAACGGAGGUGAGACCCCGAAAGGGCGCAUCAUCGACCGAUCCAGAUGUCUUCGGAUGGAUUUGAGUACGAGCAUAGCUGUUGGGACCCGAAAGGUACGCCGAAGCAUUUCUUUUGUAUUCCCCUCGCCUCUCCGUGUCCCCGCUAACAGAUCGUCCAGAUGGUGAACUAUGCCUGAAUAGGGUGAAGCCAGAGGAAACUCUGGUGGAGGCUCGCAGCGGUUCUGACGUGCAAAUCGAUCGUCAAAUUUGGGUAUAGGGGCGAAAGACUAAUCGAACCAUCUAGUAGCUGGUUCCUGCCGAAGUUUCCCUCAGGAUAGCAGUAACGUUUUCAGUUUUAUGAGGUAAAGCGAAUGAUUAGAGGCCUUGGGGUUGUAACAACCUUAACCUAUUCUCAAACUUUAAAUAUGUAAGAAGUCCUUGUUACUUAGUUGAACGUGGACAUUUGAAU